UACGAAGGGGGCUAGCGUUGCUCGGAAUCACUGGGCGUAAAGGGUGCGUAGGCGGGUCUUUAAGUCAGGGGUGAAAUCCUGGAGCUCAACUCCAGAACUGCCUUUGAUACUGAAGAUCUUGAGUUCGGGAGAGGUGAGUGGAACUGCGAGUGUAGAGGUGAAAUUCGUAGAUAUUCGCAAGAACACCAGUGGCGAAGGCGGCUCACUGGCCCGAUACUGACGCUGAGGCACGAAAGCGUGGGGGAGCAAACAGGAUUAGAUACCCUGGUAGUCCACGCCGUAAACGAUGAAUGCCAGCCGUUAGUGGGUUUACUCACUAGUGGCGCAGCUAACGCUUUAAGCAUUCCGCCUGGGGAGUACGGUCGCAAGAUUAAAACUCAA
rnacentral:rRNA from 1 species